rnacentral:rRNA from 1 species
UACGUAGGGGGCAAGCGUUAUCCGGAUUUACUGGGUGUAAAGGGAGCGUAGACGGCAGAGCAAGUCCGGAGUGAAAGCCCGGGGCCCAACCCCGGGACUGCUCUGGAAACUGUUAAGCUGGAGUGCGGGAGGGGCAGGCGGAAUUCCUAGUGUAGCGGUGAAAUGCGUAGAUAUUAGGAGGAACACCAGUGGCGAAGGCGGCCGACUGGACGGUGACUGACGCUGAGGCUCGAAAGCGUGGGUAGCAAACAGG